GAGGGAGAGAGAAAGAAAGAAAGAAAGAAUCUUGAUGAUGAUGAUGAUGAUGAUGAUGCUUCAGUAAUUGGAAAGGAAAAGUCCAAGCUAUAUGCUAUGGAGGGUUCUGGCUCAUGAGGUUGAAGAAACUCCUAAGUGGCCAGUUAGAACAAUUUGAGCAUGAUCAGCUGAGAAUAAGCAGCGUGGGNNNNNNAAAAUAUAUAUAUAUUUGCAUAAAAAUCAAGUGCUUAUCUGAUUUUGUUGCUAUAUGGGGGCG
rnacentral:misc_RNA from 1 species